AUGUGGGUUGUUGGAGGUUUGAGGGGCGGUGGAGGGGGGUAUCACGAGUGAAUUGGUCAGCCUGUUUGUCAGGAGAUGUCGUUAACGAGAAAAGUGAAGAUGGAAAGUCGAUAAGGAUGCUUCACUUAUCAGGUCGAUAAGGAUGAUUCAGGUAUGUUUGUUUGCAUGGUCGAUAACGAUGAUUCAGCAUACAACGUGGCGAAUAAUUGUAAAAGACUAUGUUUUUUGUUUUUCCGCUUAUGUU
rnacentral:lncRNA from 1 species